UAGUCGAUGGGAAACAGGUUAAUAUUCCUGUACUUGGUGUUACUGCGAAGGGGGGACGGAGAAGGCUAUGUUGGCCGGGCGACGGUUGUCCCGGUUUAAGCGUGUAGGCUGGUUUUCCAGGCAAAUCCGGAAAAUCAAGGCUGAGGCGUGAUGACGAGGCACUACGGUGCUGAAGCAACAAAUGCCCUGCUUCCAGGAAAAGCCUCUAAGCAUCAGGUAACAUCAAAUCGUACCCCAAACCGACACAGGUGGUCAGGUAGAGAAUACCAAGGCGCUUGAGAGAACUCGGGUGAAGGAACUAGGCAAAAUGGUGCCGUAACUUCGGGAGAAGGCACGCUGAUAUGUAGGUGAAGUCCCUUGCGGAUGGAGCUGAAAUCAGUCGAAGAUACCAGCUGGCUGCAACUGUUUAUUAAAAACACAGCACUGUGCAAACACGAAAGUGGACGUAUACGGUGUGACGCCUGCCCGGUGCCGGAAGGUUAAUUGAUGGGGUCAGCGCAAGCGAAGCUCUUGAUCGAAGCCCCGGUAAACGGCGGCCGUAACUAUAACGGUCCUAAGGUAGCGAAAUUCCUUGUCGGGUAAGUUCCGACCUGCACGAAUGGCGUAAUGAUGGCCAGGCUGUCUCCACCCGAGACUCAGUGAAAUUGAACUCGCUGUGAAGAUGCAGUGUACCCGCGGCAAGACGGAAAGACCCCGUGAACCUUUACUAUAGCUUGACACUGAACAUUGAGCCUUGAUGUGUAGGAUAGGUGGGAGGCUUUGAAGUGUGGACGCCAGUCUGCAUGGAGCCGGCCUUGAAAUACCACCCUUUAAUGUUUGAUGUUCUAACGUGGACCCGUGAUCCGGGUUGCGGACAGUGUCUGGUGGGUAGUUUGACUGGGGCGGUCUCCUCCUAAAGAGUAACGGAGGAGCACGAAGGUUGGCUAAUCCUGGUCGGACAUCAGGAGGUUAGUGCAAUGGCAUAAGCCAGCUUGACUGCGAGCGUGACGGCGCGAGCAGGUGCGAAAGCAGGUCAUAGUGAUCCGGUGGUUCUGAAUGGAAGGGCCAUCGCUCAACGGAUAAAAGGUACUCCGGGGAUAACAGGCUGAUACCGCCCAAGAGUUCAUAUCGACGGCGGUGUUUGGCACCUCGAUGUCGGCUCAUCACAUCCUGGGGCUGAAGUAGGUCCCAAGGGUAUGGCUGUUCGCCAUUUAAAGUGGUACGCGAGCUGGGUUUAGAACGUCGUGAGACAGUUCGGUCCCUAUCUGCCGUGGGCGCUGGAGAACUGAGGGGGGCUGCUCCUAGUACGAGAGGACCGGAGUGGACGCAUCACUGGUGUUCGGGUUGUCAUGCCAAUGGCACUGCCCGGUAGCUAAAUGCGGAAGAGAUAAGUGCUGAAAGCAUCUAAGCACGAAACUUGCCCCGAGAUGAGUUCUCCCUGACCCUUUAAGGGUCCUGAAGGAACGUUGAAGACGACGACGUUGAUAGGCCGGGUGUGUAAGCGCAGCGAUGCGUUGAGCUAACCGGUACUAAUGAACCGUGAG
rnacentral:rRNA from 1 species